rnacentral:lncRNA from 1 species
CCCCAUCUAAUCUUGAAAGACAUGAGAAAACUAUUCUCUAUGGAUAAUGGCAUACCCUCUUACGAGAGUGGUGAUGCGAAUAUCUAUUAGGGGUCACCUUUGGCUAAGUACUGUCGUGGCUAUAGAAUAUCUGAUAAGACCAUUGUGGUUGGCACGACCAUGCUCAUAGAUCGUGCCAUUUUUUAACAAGCCAAAAAUGUGCCGUGAGCAAAUUGUCG